UCAUACGGAAGAUCCAAGCGUUAUCCGGAAUUACUGGGCGUAAAGAGUUGCGUAGGUGGCAAAGUAAGCGAAGCAUGAAAUCUUGUGGCUCAACCAUAAGACUAUGUUUUGAACUGCUUAGCUUGAGUAUGGGAGAGGUAGAUGGAAUUUCUAGUGUAGGAGUGAAAUCCGUAGAUAUUAGAAGGAACACCGAUGGCGUAGGCAGUCUACUAGCCCAUUACUGACACUAAGGCACGAAAGCGUGGGGAGCGAACGGGAUUAGAUACCCCGGUAGUCCACGCCGUAAACUAUGCUUGCUAGCUGUUAUCAGUAUCGACCCUGGUAGUAGCGAAGCUAACGCGUUAAGCAAGCCGCCUGGGGAGUACGGUCGCAAGAUUA
rnacentral:rRNA from 1 species